UACAGAGGGGCAAGCGUUGUUCGGAAUUACUGGGCGUAAAGGGCGCGUAGGCGGCCUGCUAAGUCGAACGUGAAAUCCCUGGGCUCAACCCAGGAACUGCGUCCGAUACUGGUUGGCUUGAAUCCGGAGAGGGAUGUGGAAUUCCAGGUGUAGCGGUGAAAUGCGUAGAUAUCUGGAGGAACACCGGUGGCGAAGGCGACAUCCUGGACCGGUAUUGACGCUGAGGCGCGAAAGCCAGGGGAGCAAACGGG
rnacentral:rRNA from 1 species